rnacentral:ncRNA from 1 species
UACUACCAUGGAAGUCUUUCGAAGAGAGAUAUGGUAGAUGGACUAGAAGAGCAUGGCAUUUACUGCUGUGUCGAUAUUUUCUCCUCGGACCUUGAAAAUCUAUGGUGGGGUCACGCAAACUUCUCAACAGGCCGUACCGAUAUCCGCAGCUGGUCUCCAAGGUGAAGAGUCUCUAGUCGAUAGAAUAAUGUAGGUAAGGGAAGUCGGCAAAUUAGAUCCGUAACUUCGGGAUAAGGAU